rnacentral:rRNA from 1 species
AUUGAACGCUGGCGGCAGGCCUAACACAUGCAAGUCGAGCGGAUGAAGUGAGCUUGCUCCUGGAUUCAGCGGCGGACGGGUGAGUAAUGCCUAGGAAUCUGCCUGGUAGUGGGGGAUAACGUCCGGAAACGGGCGCUAAUACCGCAUACGUCCUGAGGGAGAUAUUGGUGGAUCUUCGGACCUCACGCUAUCAGAUGAGCCUAGGUCGGAUUAGCUAGUUGGUGGGUUAAUGGCCUACCAAGGCGACGAUCCGUAACUGGUCUGAGAGGAUGAUCAGUCAAACUGGAACUGAGAAACGGUCAAGACUCCUACGGGAGGAAGCAGUGGGGAAUAUUGGAAAAUGGGCGAAAGCCUGAUCAAGACAUGCCGCGUGGGUGAAGAAGGUCUUCGGAUUGUAAAGCACUUUAAGUUGGGAGGAAGGGCAGUAAGUUAAUAACUUGCUGUUUUGACGGUACCAAAAGAAUAAGCACCGGCUAACUUCGUG